AGGGUUUGAUCAUGGCUCAGAACGUACGCUGGCGGCACGCCUAAUACAUGCAAGUCGAACGAAGUAGCAAUACUUAGUGGCAGACGGGUGAGUAACAUGUGGGUAUCUUCCCUUUGGUGAGGAAUAACACGAGGAAACUUGUGCUAAUACCUCAUAAGUCUUUACAGAGAAAGCUUUAUGCGCCAUUGGAUGAGCCUGCACUUGAUUAGUUUGUUGGUGGGGUAAUGGCCUACCAAGACAAUGAUCAAUAGCUGAUUUGAGAGGAUGAUUAGCCACAUUGGGACUGAGACACGGCCCAAACUCCUACGGGAGGCAGCAGUAGGGAAUCUUGCACAAUGGAGGAAACUCUGAUGCAGCGAUGCCGCGUGAGUGAAGAAGGCCUUUGGGUUGUAAAGCUCUUUCGUCGGGGAAGAAAAUGACUGUACCCGAAUAAGAAGGUCCGGCUAACUUCGUGCCAGCAGCCGCGGUAAUACGAAGGGACCUAGCGUAGUUCGGAAUUACUGGGCUUAAAGAGUUCGUAGGUGGUUAAAAAAGUUGAUGGUGAAAUCCCAGAGCUUAACUCUGGAACUGCCAUCAAAACUUUUUAGCUAGAGUAUGAUAGAGGAAAGCAGAAUUUCUAGUGUAGAGGUGAAAUUCGUA
rnacentral:rRNA from 1 species